rnacentral:rRNA from 1 species
AUGAAGAACGUAGCGAAAUGCGAUACUUGGUGUGAAUUGCAGAAUCCCGCGAACCAUCGAGUUUUUGAACGCAAGUUGCGCCCGAGGCCACCCGGCCGAGGGCACGCCUGCCUGGGCGUCACGCCUCGCGUCGCUCCGCCUACCUCGCCCCGAGCACAUCGUGCUCUUGCGGAGACGGGCGGC